rnacentral:rRNA from 1 species
ACAUGCCUGCAUCAUAGCGCUAAUGCAUUAGAUCCCAUUAGAACUCUGCAGUUAAGUGCGCUCAAGCUAGAGUAGUAUUGGGAUGGGUGACCGGCCGGAAAGUCCUAGUGUUUUACAUGCC